rnacentral:rRNA from 1 species
GAUGAACGCUGGCGGCGUGCCUAAUACAUGCAAGUCGAGCGAACAGACGAGGAGCUUGCUCCUCUGACGUUAGCGGCGGACGGGUGAGUAACACGUGGAUAACCUACCUAUAAGACUGGGAUAACUUCGGGAAACCGGAGCUAAUACCGGAUAACAUGUUGAACCGCAUGGUUCAACAGUGAAAGACGGUCUUGCUGUCACUUAUAGAUGGAUCCGCGCCGCAUUAGAUAGUUGGUAAGGUAACGGCUUACCAAGGCAACGAUGCGUAGCCGACCUGAGAGGGUGAUCGGCCACACUGGAACUGAGACACGGUCCAGACUCCUACGGGAGGCAGCAGUAGGGAAUCUUCCGCAAUGGGCGAAAUCCUGACGGAGCAACGCCGCGUGAGUGAAGAAGGUCUUCGGAUCGUAAAACUCUGUUAUUAGGGAAGAACAAAUGUGUAAGUAACUAUGCACGUCUUGACGGUACCUAAUCAGAAAGCCACGGCUAACUACGUG